AGGGAUCAUUACCGAGUUAUUCAACUCAUCAACCCUGUGAACAUACCUAAACGUUGCUUCGGCGGGAACAGACGGCCCCGUGAAACGGGCCGCCCCCGCCAGAGGACCCCUAACUCUGUUUCUAUAAUGUUUCUUCUGAGUAAAACAAGCAAAUAAAUUAAAACUUUCACAACGGAUCUCUUGGCUCUGGCAUCGAUGAAGAACGCAGCGAAAUGCGAUAAGUAAUGUGAAUUGCAGAAUUCAGUGAAUCAUCGAAUCUUUGAACGCACAUUGCGCCCGCCAGUAUUCUGGCGGGCAUGCCUGUUCGAGCGUCAUUACAACCCUCAGGCCCCCGGGCCUGGCGUUGGGGAUCGGCGGAGCCCCCCGUGGGCACACGCCGUCCCCCAAAUACAGUGGCGGUCCCGCCGCAGCUUCCAUCGCGUAGUAGCUAACACCUCGCGACUGGAGAGCGGCGCGGCCACGCCGUAAAACACCCAACUCUUCUGAAGUUGACCUCGAAUCAGGUAGGAAUACCCGCUGAACUUAA
rnacentral:rRNA from 1 species